rnacentral:lncRNA from 1 species
AUAUUAUCUCAAUCCAAGCCAUCCUCUAAUAGUGUUGAUCAAAAUAUAUUUUUCAAUAAGUUUUUAAUGAAGAUUGGAUAUCAAACUAGAUAUUGGGAUUUUUAUUUACGAGAUUUUAAAUUUCGUUUUUUUAUUAAAUAUUUUUGUAAAAAGCGAUUCAGGGACAAGUUACCGUCUAACACAGGCUUGUAAUGACUCACAGGACAAUAAGAAAACAUCCCUUUCACGAUGCUUAUUGAACAGUAAAAUAGAAAACACUGUUCAAUAAUGAAAUUAUCGUAGAAAAUUUAGCAGAACUAAGAAAACAUGCGGAAAGAAGAAGGUAUAUAUAUGCAACAUCGUGACUCCGGAUUGAAAACAUAGCUAUUCGACUGGGUUCAGUUAUUAGAAAUAACCUACUGGUUUUCGGAAAUACUCUAUAUUUCUAUAUCGCUUUGAUAAGACAAACAGGUUUCCUUUUGGGAACAGUCUUUGUUAAUAUCGCGGGGGAAAGGGUACAAAUGGGAUUUACUUCAAUUUUUUUACAGUCGCCAGCUGGGCGACCAUGAUGACUAAAUAUAUUCGCCCAGCUGAAAAUCUGGUCGCCUCGGGCGAC